rnacentral:rRNA from 1 species
CAGCCGCCGCGGUAAUACGAGGGGGGCAAGCGUUGUUCGGAAUUAUUGGGUUUAAAGGGUCCGUAGGCGGUCUUGUAAGUCAGUGGUGAAAGCCCAUCGCUCAACGGUGGAACGGCCAUUGAUACUGCAGGACUUGAAUUAUUGGGAAGUAACUAGAAUAUGUAGUGUAGCGGUGAAAUGCUUAGAGAUUACAUGGAAUACCAAUUGCGAAGGCAGGUUACUACCAAUUGAUUGACGCUGAUGGACGAAAGCGUGGGUAGCGAACAGGAUUAGAUACCCGAGUAGUCCCUGUCUCUUAUAC